AUUGAACGCUGGCGGCAUGCCUUACACAUGCAAGUCGAACGGCAGCACGGGUGCUUGCACCUGGUGGCGAGUGGCGAACGGGUGAGUAAUACAUCGGAACGUACCUUAUCGUGGGGGAUAACGCAGCGAAAGCUGUGCUAAUACCGCAUACGCCCUGAGGGGGAAAGCGGGGGACCGUAAGGCCUCGCGCGAUUAGAGCGGCCGAUGUCUGAUUAGCUUGUUGGUGAGGUAAAAGCUCACCAAGGCGAUGAUCAGUAGCUGGUCUGAGAGGACGAUCAGCCACACUGGGACUGAGACACGGCCUAGACUCCUACGGGAGGCAGCAGUGGGGAAUUUUGGACAAUGGGGGCAACCCUGAUCCAGCAAUGCCGCGUGAGUGAAGAAGGCCUUCGGGUUGUAAAGCUCUUUUGUCAGGGAAGAAACAGCAGCUCUAACACAGUCUGCGAAUGACGGUACCUGAAGAAUAAGCACCGGCUAACUACGUGCCAGCCGCCGCGGUAA
rnacentral:rRNA from 1 species